rnacentral:rRNA from 1 species
CAAGGAAUUUUGCGCAAUGGGGGAAACCCUGACGCAGCAACGCCGCGUGGGUGAAGAAGGCCUUCGGGUUGUAAAGCCCUUUUGAAGGGGAAGAUAAUGACGGUACCCUUCGAAUAAGCCUCGGCUAACUACGUGCCAGCAGCCGCGGUAAUACGUAGGAGGCGAGCGUUGUCCGGAUUUAUUGGGCGUAAAGGGCGCGCAGGCGGCAUAAUAAGUCAGGUGUGAAAUCUCCCGGCUCAACUGGGAGGGAGCAUUUGAUACUGUUAAGCUGGAGUGCAGCAGAGGGAGAUGGAAUUCCCGGUGUAGUGGUGAAAUGCGUAGAUAUCGGGAGGAACACCAGUGGCGAAAGCGGUCUUCUGGGCUGUAACUGACGCUGAGGCGCGAAAGCGUGGGGAGCGAACCGG